GGUGGCUCAGUGGUAGAGUGCUUGCUUGCCAUGCAUGAAGCCCUGGGUUCGAUUCCUCAGCACCA
rnacentral:tRNA from 1 species